UUUUAUUAAUUAUUCACACAUAUCGACACAUCUGCCGGGGUGCUCAGUUAUCUAGUAUUAGAUAACGAUGGUUAUACACCAUCAUAGGGUCGGUUUUAAGAUGGGAUAUGUGGACGCCUAAC
rnacentral:sRNA from 1 species